rnacentral:rRNA from 1 species
GCAUAUCAAUAAGCGGAGGAAAAGAAACCAACAGGGAUUGCCUCAGUAACGGCGAGUGAAGCGGCAACAGCUCAAAUUUGAAAUCUGGCCCUAGGCCCGAGUUGUAAUUUGCAGAGGAUGUUUCUGGCGAGGUGCCUUCCGAGUUCCCUGGAACGGGACGCCAUAGAGGGUGAGAGCCCCGUACGGUUGGUCGCUAAGCCUCUGUGAAACUCCUUCGACGAGUCGAGUAGUUUGGGAAUGCUGCUCUAAAUGGGAGGUAUACGUCUUCUAAAGCUAAAUACCGGCCAGAGACCGAUAGCGCACAAGUAGAGUGAUCGAAAGAUGAAAAGCACUUUGAAAAGAGGGUUAAAUAGUACGUGAAAUUGUUGAAAGGGAAGCGCUUAUGACCAGACUUGGACCGGUUGAUCAUCCAUCGUUCUCGGUGGUGCACUCUGCCGGUUCAGGCCAGCAUCAGUUCGCCCCGGGGGAUAAAGGCUUUGGGAAUGUGGCUCUUCGGAGUGUUAUAGCCCACUGCGUAAUACCCUGGGAUGGACUGAGGUUCGCGCUCCGCAAGGAUGCUGGCGUAAUGGUCAUCAGUGACCCGUCUUGAAACACGGACCAAGGAGUCGUCUUCGUAUGCGAGUGUUCGGGUGUCAAACCCCUACGCGUAAUGAAAGUGAACGUAGGAGAGAGCUUCGGCGCAUCUCCGACCGAUCCUGAUGUUCUCGGAUGGAUUUGAGUAAGAGCAUACGGGGCCGGACCCGAAAGAAGGUGAACUAUGCUUGUAUAGGGUGAAGCCAGAGGAAACUCUGGUGGAGGCUCGCAGCGGUUCUGACGUGCAAAUCGAUCGUCAAAUAUGAGCAUGGGGGGCGAAAGACUAAUCGAACCUUCUAGUAGCUGGGUUUCCGCCGAG